ACAUGCCUACAACAUAGCGUUAGUACACCAGAUCCCAUUAGAACUUUGCAGUUAAGCGUGCUCAGGAUAGAGUAGUAUUGGGAUGGGAAGUCCUAGUGUUUUACAUGCC
rfam:Picea glauca, whole genome shotgun sequence.